AUCUGAAACAAUAAAGAAAAUAGGAACCUCAUGAAAUCCUCCUCCAAGAUUCAUAUUUUUAAUUAACAAAGUUCAAUAGCCAUCUUCACCUUGUUAUGAAACCAAAUCUCACAAAAAAAACAUGAAUCUCGCAUCUCAAAAGUCUCUUCAUAAAGUUGCUAGCAUUUAUGAUGCGAUCUCCAGAGACCACACCAAUGCAUAAGGUAAACGCGAUGUGCCAUUCAUAAUUAAUAAACCAUAAGUAACUGAAGAUAUG
rnacentral:misc_RNA from 1 species